AUUAUAUAAAUUUAUAAUAUUGAUAGUAUGUAUAGGUUGUGAAAUCAAAAGAUUUUGGCGGUAUUCUAAGCUUUUUAGAGGAAUUUGCUCUGUAAUUGAUAUGACACCAAUAUCUUUCUUAAUUUUGUAAAAUCAGCUUGUAUAUCGCUAUUUUUAAGUUAUAUUGAAUAAUUAUAAUUGAAAAAGUUUUUUUAUUAAAAUGUUAGGUCAAGAUGCAGUAUAUGAUUAAGGUUGAAGUGAAUUACGAUAAUUUUAAUUGGGUUAAAAAUGAAAAUUAAAUUAGGAUUUAAAAGUAAAAUAGAAUUAUAAUGUUUAUUUGAAUAAAGCUCUAGAAUAUGUAC
rnacentral:rRNA from 1 species